GAAAAUGAUGGUUUACCCCCUUCCCUUAUUAA
rnacentral:tRNA from 1 species